GAUGAACGCUAGCGGCAGGCUUAAUACAUGCAAGUCGAGGGGCAUCAAGGUACACGAAAGUGUAUUGUUGGCGACCGGCGGACGGGUGAGUAAUAGGUAGGUAAUCUACCUCAUACUGAGGCAUAGCUGGGAGAAAUUCCAGGUAAUUCCUCAUGAGGUUAUAUGACACAUGUGAUAUAAUCAAAGGUAUCGCAAGGUACUGGUAUGAGAUGGGCUUACUGACCAUUAGCUAGUUGGUGAGAUAAGAGCUCACCAAGGCGAAGAUGGUUAGGGGUUUUGAGAGAGAGAUCCCCCACAUUGGAACUGAGAUACGGUCCAGACUCCUACGGGAGGCAGCAGUAGGGAAUAUUGGGCAAUGGGCGGAAGCCUGACCGAGCGACGCCGCGUGAGGGACGAAGGCCUUCGGGUUGUAAACCUCUGUCUGGGGGACGAGUAAGGACGGUACCCCCGGAGGAAGCCCCGGCUAACUACGUGCCAGCAGCCGCGGUAAUG
rnacentral:rRNA from 1 species